rnacentral:lncRNA from 1 species
CGAACCUUCUAGAACAUUCUAGCUCAUUCUAGACUAUUUUAGAAUAGUCUAGAAUAUUCUAGUAAUAUCUAGCUUUGGUUUAAUUUAUUGUUCACAGAAAGCUUCAACUAAUGAGCUGAAUUCAUAAAGAAAAACUUGAAGCAGUCUUUUCUGCGGAAAGAUUUAGUUAAAGUGAUAAAUUAAUAUGGCGACAACAAGACCUUAACUCUGACUCUCUUGCAUCCUAACACAAAGUUGCAAUACGGAUUUGAAAUUUAAGUUAACUAACUACUCCAAAGAAAGAAUCGGUAGCAAACAGAAACAAAUAGAAUAGAAAAGGUAUGCUGAAACCAAUGAAACAACAAAGUUCACAACAAAAAUUGCCUCAUAGACUGGUUUCGCGCAAUCAAACUCAUACACAUUCCCAAUCUAAUAAAGUAUCAAUUAUCGUCACAUUUUGAUCAAUGCUAGAACAAGCAAAGGAGUAAAGAGAUGGACCUUAAAUCGAACCUUUCUUUUGAUAACAGAAGUGAAAUCGAUCACAAAGCUUUGACCUCCAAAUUUCAGCAAGAAAAUGACAGCAAAUCAAGAUUAACAAAUAGCAAACCCGUAGCAAAAACGAGUAGGAGUCAGAAGCUCGGACAACAACGAACUCAGCAACUUUCAAUAGAGCUCCAUUUUCAAACGAACUCCAGCCCGGAAAGAAAAGAUGAAACAUACAUUUUUUCUGAUUUUUUUAUUUUGAAAAGAAAUCGAAGAUGAAAAAAUAGAAUCAAAAGACAAUGAAAAUUUCUUUUGUAUCUUCUCCUAUUUUGGAAAACUGAACUAAGACCCAAAAUGAAGAAGAAGAACAAUUUUUUUUUUUCAAGAAAACCUAGCCUCUUUGCAAAAAAUCUUUCCGAAAGCCCCCCUUCAAAAAAUCGGAAUUGCCCUUUUUGAAAACGAACCUCUGACGAAUGUGGGGCUUGGAUUGAGUUAAAUCGAUCCAACUCCUCACACUCAUCCAACGACGUUCUCCAGAACCUUCCAAUCGCAUGAGAUGGUUAAAAAUCGGACGAGUGAGGAGGCAGAAUCUUUGGUGUCAGAAACCGUUAGAAAUGGCGAGAUGAGACAAGAAGGAACGCGUGGUUGUGGGUUUGGAUUCACUCACCUAAUUUUGGACCAAAUUGGAGCUUGGUUCGAUCACGACUCGAACAGUGAGCAUCGUUUGUGCUCUUGAGAGAUUAGGGAUUCGUUCUUGUGUGUGCGUAUCUGAAGCUGGUUAAGGUUUGGAGGGCACCUGGGCCGGGUGAAGGGGUUCGUUUGGGCCUGGUAUUGGC